rnacentral:rRNA from 1 species
GUCGAGCGGGGGAGGCUGCUUCGGUAACUGACCUAGCGGCGGACGGGUGAGUAAUGCUUAGGAAUCUGCCUAUUAGUGGGGGACAACAUUCCGAAAGGAAUGCUAAUACCGCAUACGCCCUACGGGGGAAAGCAGGGGAUCUUCGGACCUUGCGCUAAUAGAUGAGCCUAAGUCGGAUUAGCUAGUUGGUGGGGUAAAGGCCUACCAAGGCGACAAUCUGUAGCGGGUCUGAGAGGAUGAUCCGCCACACUGGGACUGAGACACGGCCCACACUCCUACGGGAGGCAGCGGUGGGGAAUA